GAUCAAGUGAUGCUCUGUUAUGAAUGACUGGACAGUGUCCGUGCUGCCUCACUUCUUGUCAGCCUGGAAUCUGGGUUUAGGAUUUAAGCUGUUCACCUCCAUCUGGUCCCGUCCGAUUCCCGCGCAUCCGAUUUCCAGGGGCUAUACAUGAAUGUGGUUAUGCGGCGUUGAUUGAGGAACUUCUGGAGGAUCGGGAGAUGCUCUUGGAAGCGCACUUUGCCGUUAUGUGCAAUUGUUGGAACCAACUGAUGAUAGCAGUGCUCCUUGAAGGUGAUGAAUCGAUGUGGAAGAUGUACUUUAGAUUUUUCUCUCGUUUUCCUUUCGUAACCUUGAAAUUCUUUCAAUACUUCGACGCGAGCUAAGAUGCUCUUUCGUGAAGAACAUCUAGAAUCGUGUUGAACGGCUGCUUGUUACAGCAAGCUAACUGGCGAAGAACACCGUCAAUUUAGCUAAAAAAUUUCAUCUUUUCCUUUUAUCGUUGCAUGAUUCAACGGGGCAUUUGGAAUUCUCCUAAUUCACGAAAACAUAGUUAUAUUCAGUUGCAUAUCCAGUCACAACCGUAUCUCAACUCCAAUUAGACGCGACGACUACCCACUGCCUCGUGACAUGCACGAGUUACAGAACCUGCUGUGGGAGAUUGCCUCAUCAAUUUGUACAGAGGCUUCAAAUGAAGCUGCAACCGUUCAACAUAAUUCGUGAGGCAUUGGGAUUAGGUGUGAUGCGAAUCAAUUACAGAGAAUUUCCAUUGUGCUCUUGACCCAAUGACCUAACAAGGACGUGAACUUCUCACGAGUGUUACCUCUGUGGUAGAUAGCGCAGAUGUCCGAACACAUGGAAAGUCUAUUUUUUUAGAGGAAUUGUCCACUCUGGAGGAGAAUUAGAUUCAGAUAAUACGACUUGAAAUGCGGUGCUUCGCAAUACAUUUGCAGAAUGUGACAAAUUACAUGACGAAACUAAGCGGAUCUGUGGGGUUGAGCGCAUAAAGAUGGAUCAACAAUUAUGUAGCGACAUCAUAAAUUUUGCAAUA